rnacentral:rRNA from 1 species
UACGUAGGGUGCAAGCGUUGUCCGGAAUUAUUGGGCGUAAAGAGCUCGUAGGCGGUCUGUCGCGUCUGCUGUGAAAACUCGGGGCUUAACCCCGGGCCUGCAGUGGGUACGGGCAGACUAGAGUGCGGUAGGGGAGACUGGAAUUCCUGGUGUAGCGGUGAAAUGCGCAGAUAUCAGGAGGAACACCGGUGGCGAAGGCGGGUCUCUGGGCCGUCAACUGACGCGUGGAGGAA